AUCUGGAUUUUUAAGCGGUUAAGUAAAUAUCAUGGGGCAGGCACUGGGGGGCACAAUAUCCCAAAUAGCCGUAUUUGCAUCACAACCCUUGGAUGAGGUGAUUGCCCAACGUCGCCCAUCAUCAUCCCGGCAGGUUAAGUCCAGGAUGCCAUCCCCGUCACAGUCUGCACUCUGCAGGACUGCGGUGUCGUGGAUGCACCACCCGGAUGGCCUGGUGCAUGAAGCUGCGGCAAAAAAAACAGCAACGAUAAUAAUUGAUCAAUGCCAGAAGCAGAUCGGGCAGGUGGCCUAGCUAGGAAAGGCCACAUGAAGGGUGGAGGCCAGACCAGCUGGAAAUGAAAGGCCAGGCAGUGUAACUACGAUUUCUAGACGCAUUGAGCAGGUCGGUGCCACAAAGAGACUCAGGGCUUGCUUGCCAGCAGCCGUAGGAUAACCGUACAUGCAUGCAUGCAUGCAUGCAUGCAUGCAUGCCACCAAUACAUUCGGUGAUUGAGCAUUGCUAUGCGCUUGCAUGCAUGUUUUGUGCGAUUGGGCAUAUGUAUACAGUUGCCAAAUAUGAUGCCUGAGGGGCUUCAGGUAAGGUGUACACACUGCUGCAAUUCACUGCUCCGAAGCAAGUGGGGUUGAACAAUAAUAUGCUAUGAUAAUUCCGAGGGGCAAUGCCGGUUCGAGGGAAUUCCCUCGAACCAUCUCAAUUUCAUCGCAACGGCUGGGUUAUUACUACGUACCUGGAUCUGUGGGUGGCGAGAAUAUCUUGGGGCAGGCACUGGGGGGCACAAUAUCCCAAAUAGCCGCAUUUGCAUCACAGCCCGUGGAUGAGGUGAUCGCCCAACGUCGCCCAUCAUCAUCCCGGCAGGUAACAUCCAGGGCGCCAUCCCCGUCACAGUCUGCACUCUGCAGGACUGAGCUGUUGUGGAUGCACCACCCGGAUGGCCUGGUGCAUGAAGCUGGAACUGCGGCAAAAGCCAGCAACGAUAAUAAUCGAUCGGUGUCAGAAGCAACAGAAACAUUUCUAGAUGCAUGGAGCAGCAGGUCAGUGCCAUAAGGAAACGCAGCUCGCCUGCCAGGGUUUUAAAACCCCUAGGGUGCCUGCCAGUAGGGAAACCGUACAUGUGUCCAUGCCACCGAUACAAUCGCGGAUUUAGCAUAAUUAUGCGCUCGCGUGAAUGUGUUGUGUGACUGGCUGGGCAUAUGUACAUGCUCAUACAGUUGCUAAAUGCGAUGCCUGAGGGGCACUGCAAUUACUCCCGCCCUUGCUUGCUUACAGGAUCUCGUAGGUUGAAGCAUGAUAUGCUACAUACGAUGAUUCCCCUGAACCAUCUCAGAUUAUUCAUCACAUACAACUGCUGGGUUAUUUCUACGUACCUGGAUCUGUGGGCGGGGGGAAUAUCAUGGGGCAGGCACUGGGGGGCACAAUAUCCCAAAUAGCCGUAUUUGCAUCACAACCCUUGGAUGAGGUGAUUGCCCAACGUCGCCCAUCAUCAUCCCGGCAGGUUAAGUCCAGGAUGCCAUCCCCGUCACAGUCUGCACUCUGCAGGACUGCGGUGUCGUGGAUGCACCACCCGGAUGGCCUGGUGCAUGAAGCUGCGGCAAAAAAAAACAGCAACGAUAAUAAUUGAUCAAUGCCAGAAGCAGAUAGGGCAGGUGGCCUAGCUAGGAAAGGCCACAUGAAGGGUGGAGGCCAGACCAGCUGGAAAUGAAAGGCCAGGCAGUGUAACUACGAUUUCUGGACGCAUCGAGCAGGUCGGUGCCACAAAGAGACUCAGGGCUUGCUUGCCAGCAGCCGUAGGAUAACCGUACAUGCAUGCAUGCAUGCAUGCCACCAAUACAUUCGGUGAUUGAGCAUAGCUAUGCGCUUGCAUGCAUGUUUUGUGCGAUUGGGCAUAUGUAUACAGUUGCCAAAUGUGAUGCCUGGGGGGCUUCAGGUAAGGUGCACACACUGCUGCAAUUCACUGCUCCGAAGCAAGUGGGGUUGAACAAUGAUAUGCUAUGAUAAUUCCGAGGGGCAAUGCCGGUUCGAGGGAAUUCCCUCGAACCAUCUCAAUUUCAUCGCAACGGCUGGGUUAUUACUACGUACCUGGAUCUGUGGGUGGCGAGAAUAUCUUGGGGCAGGCACUGGGGGGCACAAUAUCCCAAAUAGCCGCAUUUGCAUCACAGCCCGUGGAUGAGGUGAUCGCCCAACGUCGCCCAUCAUCAUCCCGGCAGGUAACAUCCAGGGCGCCAUCCCCGUCACAGUCUGCACUCUGCAGGACUGAGCUGUUGUGGAUGCACCACCCGGAUGGCCUGGUGCAUGAAGCUGGAACUGCGGCAAAAGCCAGCAACGAUAAUAAUCGAUCGGUGUCAGAAGCAACAGAAACAUUUCUAGAUGCAUGGAGCAGCAGGUCGGUGCCAUAAGGAAACGCAGCUCGCCUGCCAGGGUUUUAAAACCCCUAGGGCGCCUGCCAGUAGGACAAGUUGGGUGUCGGCUUCAAGGAAGCCGGAAAAAGGGCGGGGCCCCUCUGCAUCCGUACAGGCCGGUAGCAAAGGUGGCAAGUGUGACAAUUGAUGGGUAGUGUCAACGCGGUGGGAGAUGUGCUUUGUUGCAGCAGUGCUGAUGGUGUGAGAGCUAAGCUUGCACCGGCGAAAUCGUCAGCACCGCCUGAGGGCUCCACGCGAAUCGCAUCCAUUCCGGGUGCAUGCCGCAUGGACAGUGCGGCAGACCGCAAGUCGGAAUGCCCGUGCGGGCAAAUGGUAACGAAAGCUGGGUGAAUUUCGGUGCUGUCUGUGAUGUUUAUCCCCGAAGCGCCAGCGGCCUCAGCAAUCCGCCCCACAGCCGCGGGCUUCAUCGGGGCACACCGCAAGUCUCAGGAGGCCCCGUGCAUUGGCCAAAGUAAAUGUACAAACAAGCAGCUUGUGUAUUUCAUAGAGAAAUGAAAGUAAAUUAUGUUGGCCUGCUGGUGGCAAGUCGGAUUGCCCAUGCCGGCAAAUGGUAACACAAGCUGGGUGUUCGAGUUAUCAUACGCUGUCAUCUCGGAAAUCAAUUAUGAGAUACACGGCACCUUUUGAGAUGAAAUAUAGCCCGAGAGGUGUUGAUGUGACUUUUGAGGUCGGUGAAUGGAGGCAGCUAAACUUGUUUGUGCUCAUACGGUCUUUGUUAGCUACAUGCGAGAUACCUUGCAAUAGAGAAUGCUGUAUAGUACCGAUAACGCGUUUCAGCCGGGCGAGAUAUUAUGUUUGGUCCGUUACAGACACACACACACACACACACACACACACACACACACACACACACACACACGGACAUGGGCAAUCCUACAGGUCGGGGCCCCCCUGGGCGCUUCGCGCUGGGGCCCCGCCCAAAAACCGUACAUGUGUCUAUGCCACCGAUACAAUCGCGGAUUUAGCAUAAUUAUGCGCUCGCGUGAAUGUGUUGUGUGACUGGCUGGGCAUAUGUACAUGCUCAUACAGUUGCUAAAUGCGAUGCCUGAGGGGCACUGCAAUUACUCCCGCCCUUGCUUGCUUACAGGAUCUCGUAGGUUGAAGCAUGAUAUGCUACAUACGAUGAUUCCCCUGAACCAUCUCAGAUUAUUCAUCACAUACAACUGCUGGGUUAUUUCUACGUACCUGGAUCUGUGGGCGGGGGGAAUAUCAUGGGGCAGGCACUGGGGGGCACAAUAUCCCAAAUAGCCGUAUUUGCAUCACAACCCUUGGAUGAGGUGAUUGCCCAACGUCGCCCAUCAUCAUCCCGGCAGGUUAAGUCCAGGAUGCCAUCCCCGUCACAGUCUGCACUCUGCAGGACUGCGGUGUCAUGGAUGCACCACCCGGAUGGCCUGGUGCAUGAAGCUGCGGCAAAAAAAACAGCAACGAUAAUAAUUGAUCAAUGCCAGAAGCAGAUAGGGCAGGUGGCCUAGCUAGGAAAGGCCACAUGAAGGGUGGAGGCCAGACCAGCUGGAAAUGAAAGGCCAGGCAGUGUAACUACGAUUUCUAGACGCAUUGAGCAGGUCGGUGCCACAAAGAGACUCAGGGCUUGCUUGCCAGCAGCCGUAGGAUAACCGUACAUGCAUGCAUGCAUGCAUGCAUGCAUGCCACCAAUACAUUCGGUGAUUGAGCAUAGCUAUGCGCUUGCAUGCAUGUUUUGUGCGAUUGGGCAUAUGUAUACAGUUGCCAAAUGUGAUGCCUGGGGGGCUUCAGGUAAGGUGCACACACUGCUGCAAUUCACUGCUCCGAAGCAAGUGGGGUUGAACAAUGAUAUGCUAUGAUAAUUCCGAGGGGCAAUGCCGGUUCGAGGGAAUUCCCUCGAAUCAUCUCAAUUUCAUCGCAACGGCUGGGUUAUUACUACGUACCUGGAUCUGUGGGUGGCGAGAAUAUCUUGGGGCAGGCACUGGGGGGCACAAUAUCCCAAAUAGCCGCAUUUGCAUCACAGCCCGUGGAUGAGGUGAUCGCCCAACGUCGCCCAUCAUCAUCCCGGCAGGUAACAUCCAGGGCGCCAUCCCCGUCACAGUCUGCACUCUGCAGGACUGAGCUGUUGUGGAUGCACCACCCGGAUGGCCUGGUGCAUGAAGCUGGAACUGCGGCAAAAGCCAGCAACGAUAAUAAUCGAUCGGUGUCAGAAGCAACAGAAACAUUUCUAGAUGAAUGGAGCAGCAGGUCGGUGCCAUAAGGAAACGCAGCUCGCCUGCCAGGGUUUUAAAACCCCUAGGGCGCCUGCCAGUAGGAAAACCGUACAUGUGUCCAUGCCACCGAUACAAUCGCUGAUUUAGCAUAAUUAUGCGCUCGCGUGAAUGUGUUGUGUGACUGGCUGGGCAUAUGUACAUGCUCAUACAGUUGCUAAAUGCGAUGCCUGAGGGGCACUGCAAUUACUCCCGCCCUUGCUUGCUUACAGGAUCUCGUAGGUUGAAGCAUGAUAUGCUACAUACGAUGAUUCCCCUGAACCAUCUCAGAUUAUUCAUCACAUACAACUGCUGGGUUAUUUCUACGUACCUGGAUCUGUGGGGGGGGGGAAUAUCAUGGGGCAGGCACUGGGGGGCACAAUAUCCCAAAUAGCCGUAUUUGCAUCACAACCCUUGGAUGAGGUGAUUGCCCAACGUCGCCCAUCAUCAUCCCGGCAGGUUAAGUCCAGGAUGCCAUCCCCGUCACAGUCUGCACUCUGCAGGACUGCGGUGUCGUGGAUGCACCACCCGGAUGGCCUGGUGCAUGAAGCUGCGGCAAAAAAAACAGCAACGAUAAUAAUUGAUCAAUGCCAGAAGCAGAUCGGGCAGGUGGCCUAGCUAGGAAAGGCCACAUGAAGGGUGGAGGCCAGACCAGCUGGAAAUGAAAGGCCAGGCAGUGUAACUACGAUUUCUAGAUGCAUCGAGCAGGUCGGUGCCACAAAGAGACUCAGGGCUUGCUUGCCAGCAGCCGUAGGAUAACCGUACAUGCAUGCAUGCAUGCAUGCAUGCCACCAAUACAUUCGGUGAUUGAGCAUAGCUAUGCGCUUGCAUGAAUGUUUUGUGCGAUUGGGCAUAUGUAUACAGUUGCCAAAUGUGAUGCCUGAGGGGCUUCAGGUAAGUUGCACACACUGCUGCAAUUCACUGCUCCGAAGCAAGUGGGGUUGAACAAUGAUAUGCUAUGAUAAUUCCGAGGGGCAAUGCCGGUUCGAGGGAAUUCCCUCGAACC
rnacentral:lncRNA from 1 species